rnacentral:tRNA from 1 species
UGGGGCAUAGCGCAAUUUGGCAGCGCACUUGGCUUGGGACCAAGGGAUUGAGAGUUCGAGUCUCUCUGCUCCAACCA